AUUGAACGCUGGCGGCAUGCUUUACACAUGCAAGUCGAGCGGUAACAGGCCUUCGGGUGCUGACGAGUGGCGAACGGGUGAGUAAUGCAUCGGAACGUACCCAGAGGUGGGGGAUAACGCAGCGAAAGCUGUGCUAAUACCGCAUGUGAUCUGAGGAUGAAAGCGGGGGACCGAGCAGCAAUGUUUGGCCUCGCGCCUUUGGAGCGGCCGAUGUCGGAUUAGCUAGUUGGUGGGGUAAAGGCCUACCAAGGCGACGAUCCGUAGCUGGUCUGAGAGGACGACCAGCCACACUGGGACUGAGACACGGCCCAGACUCCUACGGGAGGCAGCAGUGGGGAAUUUUGGGCAAUGGGCGCAAGCCUGAUCCAGCAAUGCCGCGUGCGGGAAGAAGGCCUUCGGGUUGUAAACCGCUUUUGGCAGGAACGAAACGGUGUCCGCUAAUACCGGGCGCUAAUGACGGUACCUGCAGAAUAAGCACCGGCUAACUACGUG
rnacentral:rRNA from 1 species